AGAGUUUGAUCAUGGCUCAGGACGAACGCUGGCGGCGCGCUUAACACAUGCAAGUCGAGCGAGAACCAGGGCUUCGGCCCUGGGGAAAGCGGCGAACGGGUGAGUAACACGUGAGUAAUCCACCCUCGGUACCGGGAUAGCCCGGGGAAACCCGGAUUAAUACCGGAUGGCCCGACAGCCUCUCGAGGCGGUCGGAAAAGGUAGCUUCGGCCUCCGACCGAGGACGAGCUCGCGGCGGAUUAGCUUGUUGGCGGGGUAACGGCCCACCAAGGCGACGAUCCGUAGCUGGUCUGAGAGGACGAUCAGCCACACUGGGACUGAGACACGGCCCAGACUCCUACGGGAGGCAGCAGUGGGGAAUCUUGCGCAAUGGGCGAAAGCCUGACGCAGCGACGCCGCGUGCGGGAAGAAGGCCUUCGGGUUGUAAACCGCUUUCAGGAGGGACGAAGCCACUCGGGUUAAUAGCCCAGAGGUGACGGUACCUCCAGAAGAAGCCCCGGCUAACUACUGCCAGCAGCCGCGGUA
rnacentral:rRNA from 1 species